UACGGAGGGUGCAAACGUUGCUCGGAAUCAUUGGGCGUAAAGCGCACGUAGGCGGCUUCGCAAGUCCCAUGUGAAAGCCCACGGCUUAACCGUGGAAGUGCAUGGGAAACUGCAGAGCUUGAGUACUUAAGGAGGAUCGCGGCGAAUUCCCGGUGUAGAGGUAGAAAUUCGUAGAUAGUCGGGGAGGAACACCAGUGGCGAAGG
rnacentral:rRNA from 1 species